rnacentral:rRNA from 1 species
AUUGAACGCUGGCGGCAUGCUUUACACAUGCAAGUCGAACGGUAACAGGGAGCUUGCUCCGCUGACGAGUGGCGAACGGGUGAGUAAUAUAUCGGAACGUACCCAAGAGUGGGGGAUAACGUAGCGAAAGUUACGCUAAUACCGCAUACGAUCUAAGGAUGAAAGCAGGGGAUCUUCGGACCUUGUGCUCCUGGAGCGGCCGAUAUCUGAUUAGCUAGUUGGUGAGGUAAAGGCUCACCAAGGCGACGAUAAGCAGCUGGUCUGAGAGGACGACCAGCCACACUGGAACUGAGACACGGUCCAGACUCCUACGGGAGGCAGCAGUGGGGAAUUUUGGACAAUGGGCGCAAGCCUGAUCCAGCAAUGCCGCGUGAGUGAAGAAGGCCUUCGGGUUGUAAAGCUCUUUUGUCAGGGAAGAAACGGGAGUGGCUAAUAUCCAUUCCUAAUGACGGUACCUGAAGAAUAAGCACCGGCUAACUACGUGCCAGCAGCCGCGGUAAAAC